rnacentral:ncRNA from 12 species
GGUUGGAAUGGUUAUUACCAUUUUCAAGAGAAGCGGGCUCUGGGGUGGGAGGCU